rnacentral:rRNA from 1 species
GACGAACGCUGGCGGCGUGCCUAAUACAUGCAAGUCGAGCGGACGAAUCGAAAGCUUGCUUUUGAUUCGUUAGCGGCGGACGGGUGAGUAACACGUGGGCAACCUGCCCUGUAGACGGGGAUAACACCGAGAAAUCGGUGCUAAUACCGGAUAACACGAAAUGUCGCAUGACGUUUCGUUGAAAGACGGCGCAAGCUGUCGCUACAGGAUGGGCCCGCGGCGCAUUAGCUAGUUGGUGAGGUAACGGCUCACCAAGGCGACGAUGCGUAGCCGACCUGAGAGGGUGAUCGGCCGCACUGGGACUGAGACACGGCCCAGACUACUACGGGAGGCAGCAGUAGGGAAUCUUCCGCAAUGGACGAAAGUCUGACGGAGCAACGCCGCGUGAGAGAAGAAGGCCUUCGGGUCGUAAAGCUCUGUUGUUAGGGAAGAACAAGUAACGCAGUAACUGGCGUUACCGUGACGGUACCUAACGAGAAAGCCACGGCUAACUACGUG